GGAGCAGCUUCAUUAACCCACAAGGAGAAAGAUGUGCAGGAUAUGCUGUGGUAACUUUGGAUGCUGUCAUUGAAGCCAAACCGUUGCCACAGGGCACUUCAGCCCAGAAAGCUGAGCUCAUUGCUUUAACUUGGGCUCUAGAACUCAGUGAAAGUAAGACUGUAAACAUCUACACGGACUCUCGAUAUGCCUUUCUAACCCUCCAAGUGCAUGGAGCAUUAUAUAAGGAAAAGGGCCUGUUAAACUCUGGGGGAAAGGACAUAAAAUAUCAACAAGAAAUCCUACAAUUAUUAGAGGCAGUGUGGAAACCUCAGAAGGUGGCGGUCAUGCACCGCAGGGGACACCAGUGAGCCUCCACCUCAGUGGCCUGAGGAAACUCUCGAGCUGAUUCAGAAGCUCAAAAAGCAGCAUCUACCCCUUCCUGGGCAUCGGUAGCAGCCCCCUUACUCCUCAAACACCUGACCUGGUACCUACCUAUUCUGAGGAAGAAAAAGACUUCUUCCACACAGCAGAGGGGCAAGAAAUAAAAGGAUGAUAGAUCAGACUGCCCAAUGGGAGGGUAGCUGUGCCACAGUUGCUGGGAGACACAAUCGUAUUGACCAUACACGAAACCACUCAUCUAGGACAAGAGUCACUUGAAAAUUGUUAGGCCGGUACUUCUACGUCUCACACUUGACAGCCCUUGCCAAAGCAGCAGCACAACAGUGUGUUACUUGCCAACAGCACAAUGCCAGGCAAGGCCCCACUGUUCUGCCUGGCAUACAAGCUUAUGGAGCGGCUCCUUUUGAGGAUCUUCAGGUGGAUUUCACAGAAAUGCCGAAAUGUGGAGGUGAUCCCGUGUGGAUCAAGGACUGGAAUGUAGCCCCUUUGUGCCCACAAUGGAAAGGACCUCAGACUGUCAUUCUGACCACCUCCACGGCUGUAAAGGUAGAAGGAAUCCCAGCCUGGAUCCACCACAGCCGUGUAAAACCUGCAGCCGAUAAAACCUGGGAGGCAAAACCGAGCCCGGAGAAGCGCUGUAAAGUGACUCUGAGGAGGACGACAAGCCCUGCUCCAGUCUCACCCAGAAGCUGACUGGUCUACGCAUGGCCGAAGCAUGAGGAGACUCAUCCCGGGACUCAUUUUCCUUAUAACUUGGACUUGUAUAGUAAAAACUUCCACUGAUUUUCCCCGCAUGGAGGACUGCUCUCAGUGUAUACAUCAGAUUACCGAGGUAGGGCAACAAGUUAAAACAAUCUUUCUGUUGUAUAGUUACUAUGAAUGCCUAGAAACUUUAAAAGGAACAUGUUUAUAUAGUGACACUCAGUACAAGUUAUGUAGCCCAGGAAACAACUGACCAGAUGUGUGUUAUGACCCCUCUGAG
rnacentral:lncRNA from 1 species